AACGUAGGACGCGAGCGUUAUCCGGAGUUACUGGGCGUAAAGCGUGCGCAGGCGGUUCGACAAGUCCGAUGUGAAAGCCCCGGGCUCAACCUGGGAAUGGCAUUGGAAACUGGCGAGCUUGAGUGUGGCAGAGGGGGGUGGAAUUCCGCGUGUAGCAGUGAAAUGCGUAGAGAUGCGGAGGAACACCGAUGGCGAAGGCAGCCCCCUGGGCUGACACUGACGCUCAGGCACGAAAGCGUGGGGAGCAAACAGG
rnacentral:rRNA from 1 species